AACGAACGCUGGCGGCAGGCUUAACACAUGCAAGUCGAGCGCCCCGCAAGGGGAGCGGCAGACGGGUGAGUAACGCGUGGGAAUCUACCCAUCUCUACGGAAUAACGCAUGGAAACGUGUGCUAAUACCGUAUACGUCCUUCGGGAGAAAGAUUUAUCGGAGAUGGAUGAGCCCGCGUUGGAUUAGCUAGUUGGUGGGGUAAAGGCCUACCAAGGCGACGAUCCAUAGCUGGUCUGAGAGGAUGAUCAGCCACACUGGGACUGAGACACGGCCCAGUCUCCUACGGGAGGCAGCAGUGGGGAAUAUUGGACAAUGGGCGCAAGCCUGAUCCGGCCAUGCCGCGUGAGUGAUGAAGGCCCUAGGGUUGUAAAGCUCUUUCACCGGUGAAGAUAAUGACGGUAACCGGAGAAGAAGCCCCGGCUAACUUCGUGCCAGCAGCCGCCGUAAGAC
rnacentral:rRNA from 1 species